GUUAGGAAUAUUGGACAAUGGGCGCAAGCCUGAUCCAGCCAUGCCGCGUGAGUGAUGAAGGCCUUCGGGUUGUAAAGCUCUUUAGCCGAUGAUUAUAAUGACUGUAGUCGGAAAAUAAGCCCCGGCUAACUUCGUGCCAGCAGCCGCGGUAAUACGAAGGGGGCGAGCGGUAUUCGGAAUCACUGGGCGUAAAGCGUGCGUAGGCGGCUUUGCAAGUUGGGAGUGAAAGCCCAGGGCUCAACCCUGGAAUUGCUCUCAAAACUGCAAGGCUCGAAUUCGGGAGAGGAUAGCGGAAUUGUCAGUGUAGCAGUGAAAUGCGUAGAUAUUGACAGGAACACCAGUGGCGUAAGCGGCUAUCUGGACCGAUAUUGACGCUGAGGCACGAAAGCGUGGGGAUCAAACAGGAUUAGAAACCCUAGUAGUCC
rnacentral:rRNA from 1 species